rfam:Pseudobutyrivibrio ruminis strain ACV-9 genome assembly, contig: IE77DRAFT_scaffold00003.3
UUUGAAGUGAGCCUAGAAAAUUAGAAAGGGGUAUUUUGCGAUGAAUAGGCGUGAGGCGCCAUGGACGGCGCCGAGAGCCCGACAACGAAACGGACUGAGUUAAAGGGCGGCGCCUAAGCAUCCAAAAUCCCCUUUCUUAAUUUUCUUGGCAAACGGAGUAU